GCGUCGGCAGUGCAACGGUUUAGCACAUGCACCUGAAAAGAGUAAGACCUGGGUUCAAAUCCGGCUGACGCA